rnacentral:rRNA from 1 species
UUGACGGGGACCCGCACAAGCGGUGGAGCAUGUGGUUUAAUUCGAAGCAACGCGAAGAACCUUACCAACUCUUGACAUCCCAUUGACCGCUUGAGAGAUCAAGUUUUCCCUUCGGGGACAAUGGUGACAGGUGGUGCAUGGUUGUCGUCAGCUCGUGUCGUGAGAUGUCGGGUUAAGUCCCGCAACGAGCGCAACCCCUAUCCUUAGUUGCCAGCAUUGAGUUGGGCACUCUAGGGAGACUGCCGGUGACAAACCGGAGGAAGGUGGGGAUGACGUCAAAUCAUCAUGCCCCUUAUGAGUUGGGCUACACACGUGCUACAAUGGACGGUACAAAGGGCAGCGAGACCGCGAGGUGGAGCCAAUCCCAUAAAGCCGUUCCCAGUUCGGAUUGCAGGCUGCAACUCGCCUGCAUGAAGUCGGAAUCGCUAGUAAUCGCAGGUCAGCAUACUGCGGUGAAUACGUUCCCGGGUCUUGUACACACCGCCCGUCACACCACGAGAGUUUGCAACACCCGAAGCCGGUGAGUAACCNUAAGGAGC